UACGUAGGGAACGAGCGUUGUCCGGAAUCAUUGGGCGUAAAGAGCGUGUAGGCGGCCCCUUAAGUCCUGCGUGAAAUCCUGCGGCUCAACCGCAGACGGUCGUGGGAAACUGGAGGGCUAGAGUGCGGGAGAGGAGAGUGGAAUUCCCGGUGUAGCGGUGAAAUGCGCAGAUAUCGGGAAGAACACCCGUGGCGAAGGCGGCUCUCUGGAACGCAACUGACGCUGAGGCGCGAAAGCGUGGGGAGCAAACAGG
rnacentral:rRNA from 1 species